rnacentral:rRNA from 1 species
AGCCCCCCUCAAGAUGAGAUUUCCCAUAGCGUAAGCUAGUAAGAUCCCUGAAAGAUGAUCAGGUUGAUAGGUUCGAGGUGGAAGCAUGGUGACAUGUGGAGCUGACGAAUACUAAUAGAUCGAGGACUUAACCAUAUAAUAUGUA